rnacentral:lncRNA from 1 species
GCAUCAUCCUGGGCACGCACCAUGAGAAGGGGGCCUUCACCUUCUGGUCCUACGCCAUUGGCCUGCCGCUGCCCAGCAGCUCCAUCCUCAGCUGGAAGUUCUGCCACGUGCUGCACAAGGUCCUGCGGGACGGCCAUGCCAAUGUGCUGCACGACUGCCAGCGCUACCGGAGCAACAUCCGGGAGAUAGGGGACCUGUGGGUAGGUGCAGGGCGGGCCAGGCCUUUCCCUCUGGGCAGAAGUCGGGCUGACGGGCAGUGGGUGUGCAGCGGAGUGGCAGGCUUGCUUUCACAGCCUGGGCCAGGCGUCCCGUGCCGAUGGGCACAGGGCCUGCGGUGCUGGCCUGGGCACUCCAGCGUGGCCCUGAGCCUAUGUGGGGCGCAGGCCCGGCGCCCCCAGACUGGCUGCUUCACAGUCGGGGUUUGGGUCGCGUUUCCUGCUCACUCUCCAGGCGCUGGAGGCACGGUGGUCUGAGGCCUGAGACCGGAGUCGGCACCAGCGGGAAUAGGGCCCUGCCUUUUGCCCUUGUCCCGUCCCUGGCGCUAAGGGACGCAGUGCCCACAGUGCCCUCUGUAGACAGCCUGGCUGCGGCGUGGGAGGCUGGAGCCGGGAGGGCAGGACAGGUCUCGGCCUGGAAUGCGCCUCCCUUAUCUGCCGCUGGCACUCAUGAAGUGUCCCGGGCGGAAAUGGCCUGCUGCCCUGGACAAGGCACCCUCUUCUCAGGAGAGGUCCCCUGGCUGGAAUGACAAGGACCCAGAUACGGGGAAAGCUGGACACAAGAUUGACGGGGCCACGGGAAGCUAUUGCUGAGGCCACUUGCAUGACCGCUACGGGCAGCUGGUGAAUGUCUACACCAAACUCCUGCUCACCAAAAUCUCCUUCCACCUCAAGCACCCCCAGUUUCCUGCGGGCCUGGAGGUGACAGAUGAGGUGCUGGAGAAGGCGGCCGGGACCGACGUCAACAAUAUCUUCCAGCUCACCGUGGAGAUGUUCGACUACAUGGACUGCGAGCUGAAGCUGUCGGAAUCGGUCUUCCGGCAGCUGAACACGGCCAUUGCUGUGUCCCAGAUGUCCUCAGGCCAGUGCCGCCUGGCCCCGCUCAUCCAGGUCAUCCAGGACUGCAGCCACCUCUACCACUACACGGUCAAGCUGCUGUUCAAGCUGCACUCCUGUCUCCCAGCGGACACCCUGCAGGGCCACCGGGACCGGUUCCACGAGCAGUUCCACAGCCUCCGGAACUUCUUCCGCAGAGCCUCGGACAUGAUCUACUUCAAGCGGCUCAUCCAGAUUCCCCGGCUGCCUGAGAGUCCCCCCAACUUUCUGGGCCUCAGCCCUGGCUGAGCACAUCAAGCCCGGUGGUGGUGAUCCCCGAGGAGGCCCCGGAGGAUGAGGAGCCCGAGAACCUCAUCGAGAUCAGCACUGGGCCUCCUGCCGGGGAGCCUGUGGUGGUAGCCGACCUCUUGGAUCAGACCUUUGGACCCCCCAACGGCUCCAUGAAGGCUGACAGGGACCUCCAGGUGGAGAGUCUGAAGAGGGAGGUGGAGCUGCUCCGCGCUGAGCUGGAGAAGACCAAGCUGGAGGCCCGGCGGUACGUGGCGCAGCUGAAGGGCCAGGUGAAUGCCCUGGAGGCUGAGCUGGAAGAGCAGCGCACGCAGAAGCAGAAGGCGCUGGUGGACAACGAGCAGCUCCGGCACGAGCUGACCCAGCUGCGGGCCGUGCAGCAGGAGGG